AACGAACGCUGGCGGCAUGCCUAACACAUGCAAGUCGAACGAGACCUUCGGGUCUAGUGGCGCACGGGUGCGUAACGCGUGGGAACCUGCCCUUAGGUUCGGAAUAACUCCCCGAAAGGGGUGCUAAUACCGGAUAAUGUCUUCGGACCAAAGAUUUAUCGCCUUUGGAUGGGCCCGCGUUGGAUUAGCUAGUUGGUAGGGUAAAAGCCUACCAAGGCGACGAUCCAUAGCUGGUCUGAGAGGAUGAUCAGCCACACUGGGACUGAGACACGGCCCAGACUCCUACGGGAGGCAGCAGUGGGGAAUAUUGGACAAUGGGCGAAAGCCUGAUCCAGCAAUGCCGCGUGAGUGAUGAAGGCCUUAUGGUUGUAAAGCUCUUUUACCCGGGAUGAUAAUGACAGUACCGGGAGAAUAAGCUCCGGCUAACUCCGUG
rnacentral:rRNA from 1 species